AGAGUUUGAUCCUGGCUCAGGAUGAACGCUAGCGGCAGGCCUAACACAUGCAAGUCGAGGGGUAUAGAGAGCUUGCUUUCUAGAGACCGGCGCACGGGUGAGUAACGCGUAUGCAACCUACCUUUCACAGGGGAAUAGCCCAGAGAAAUUUGGAUUAAUGCCCUAUGGUUUAUUUGGAUGGCAUCAUUUGAAUAAUAAAGAUUUAUUGGUGAGAGAUGGGCAUGCGUAUCAUUAGCUAGUUGGUGUGGUAACGGCAUACCAAGGCGACGAUGAUUAGGGGUCCUGAGAGGGAGAUCCCCCACACUGGUACUGAGACACGGACCAGACUCCUACGGGAGGCAGCAGUGAGGAAUAUUGGUCAAUGGAGGCAACUCUGAACCAGCCAUGCCGCGUGCAGGAUGACGGUCCUAUGGAUUGUAAACUGCUUUUGUACAGGAAGAAAUGUGGUUACGUGUAAUCAUUUGACGGUACUGUAAGAAUAAGGAUCGGCUAACUCCGUGCCAGCAGCCGCGGUAAU
rnacentral:rRNA from 1 species